CAGGAUGAACGCUGGCGGCGUGCUUAACACAUGCAAGUCGAACGAAGCGCUUAAAUGGAUUUCUUCGGAUUGAAGUUUUUGUGACUGAGUGGCGGACGGGUGAGUAACGCGUGGGUAACCUGCCUCAUACAGGGGGAUAACAGUUAGAAAUGACUGCUAAUACCGCAUAAGCGCACAGUGCUGCAUGGCACAGUGUGAAAAACUCCGGUGGUAUGAGAUGGACUCGCGUCUGAUUAGCUAGUUGGUGGGGUAACGGCCUACCAAGGCGACGAUCAGUAGCCGGCCUGAGAGGGUGAACGGCCACAUUGGGACUGAGACACGGCCCAAACUCCUACGGGAGGCAGCAGUGGGGAAUAUUGCACAAUGGGGGAAACCCUGAUGCAGCGACGCCGCGUGAGCGAAGAAGUAUUUCGGUAUGUAAAGCUCUAUCAGCAGGGAAGAAAAUGACGGUACCUGACUAAGAAGCACCGGCUAAAUACGUGCCAGCAGCCGCGGUAAUACGUAUGGUGCAAGCGUUAUCCGGAUUUACUGGGUGUAAAGGGAGCGUAGACGGUUGUGUAAGUCUGAUGUGAAAGCCCGGGGCUCAACCCCGGGACUGCAUUGGAAACUAUGUAACUAGAGUGUCGGAGAGGUAAGCGGAAUUCCUAGUGUAGCGGUGAAAUGCGUAGAUAUUAGGAGGAACACCAGUGGCGAAGGCGGCUUACUGGACGAUCACUGACGUUGAGGCUCGAAAGCGUGGGGAGCAAACAGGAUUAGAUACCCUGGUAGUCCACGCCGUAA
rnacentral:rRNA from 1 species